rnacentral:rRNA from 1 species
AAUCAACGCUGGCGGCGUGCCUAACACAUGCAAGUCGAACGAGAAAGGGGCUUCGGCCCUGAGUAGAGUGGCGGACGGGUGAGUAACACGUGGGUGAUCUACCCUCCAGUGGGGGAUAACACAUCGAAAGGUGUGCUAAUACCGCAUGGAGUUCCGGUUGUCGCGAUCGGAAUGAAAGCAGCAAUGUGCUGGAGGAGGAGCCCGCGCCGGAUUAGCUAAUUGGUGGGGUAAUGGCCUACCAAGGCAACGAUCCGUAGCCGGCCUGAAAGGGUGACCGGCCACACUGGAACUGAGACACGGUCCAGACUCCUACGGGAGGCAGCAGUGGGGAAUUUUGCGCAAUGGGGGAAACCCUGACGCAGCAACGCCGCGUGGACGAUGAAGGCCUUUGGGUCGUAAAGUCCUGUCAGCAGGGAAAAACACAAUGAUGGUACCUGCAGAGGAAGCUCCGGCUAACUUCGUGCCAGCAGCCGCCGCAG